GCCAGGUGUGGUGGCGCGUGCCUGUAAUCCCAGCUAUUUGGGAGGCUGAGGCAGGAGAAUCACUUGAACCCAGGAGGUGGAGGUUGCAGUUAGCUGAGAUUGCGCCACUGCAACCCAGCCUGGGUGACAGAGUGAGACUCUGUCUCAA
ensembl:misc_RNA Metazoa_SRP Metazoan signal recognition particle RNA